GGGCGCUUAGCUCAGUUGGUAGAGCGUCUGCCUUACAAGCAGAAUGGCGGCGGUUCGAUCCCGUCAGCGCCCACCA
rnacentral:tRNA from 1 species